rnacentral:lncRNA from 1 species
CCGCCCCUCCCCAGACUGCUGAGCUUCCCAGACACGUGGCCCAGAAGAGCAACUGAACUUGGGAACUCCUGAGGAUCGGUUGACCUGGUGUCCUGAAGCCUCCCCUGGUGACCCCAGGUGCACCCGCCACCCUCGGUGGUGGGAUUUUCCUUGGGAAGUCACAUCCGGCUGACUACCGGUCAGCCCCAGUGGCUGCCCAUGCCCGGCU